rnacentral:rRNA from 1 species
GAUGAACGAUGGCGGGGGGAGGAAUAAAGGCAAGUCGAGCGAAAAGACGAGGAGCUUGCUCCUCUGACGUUAGGGGAGGGGGGGAGAGUAACACGUGGAUAAUGUACCUAUAAGAGUGGGAUAAAUUGGGGAAAGGGGAGAUAAUAGGGGAGAAUAUAUUGAACCGCGUGGGGGAAUGGUGAAAGACGGUGGUGCUGUAACUAAUAGAUGGAUACGCGCCGCAUUAGGGGGUAGGUAAGGUAAAAGCUUAUCCAGGCGAGGAUGCGUAGGCGACCGGAGAGGGUGCGCGGCCACACUGGAACUGAGACGCCGUCCCUACUCCUACGGUAGGCAGCAGUAGGGUACCUUCCGCAAUGGGCGCAAGCCUUACGGAGCAACGCCGCGUGAGUGAUGAAGGUCUUCGGAUCGUAAUACUCUGUUAUUAGUGAAGAACAAAUGUGUAAGUAGCUAUGCCCUUCUUGACGGUACCUAAUCAGAAAGCCACGGCUAACUACGUG